GCCUAGUUAGCUUAGUUGGUAGUUUGGUAGUGCGUCUGCCUUGUAAGCGCUAGGCCGCGGGUUCGAUUCCCGCCCGGGGCG
rnacentral:tRNA from 1 species